UUGAAGUAGAAUUUGAGCACACUUAUUUUUGAGUCAGAUGGUUCAGGAUGUGAAUGAAACCCCGUGCAUUACCAGAAUGAAACGAACACUAAAUACGCUGGAGGGAUAACAGACUUUGACAACUCAUAAUACAACGAUGACCUUCGCUUUGGUCUUCGUGUUUGGCUGGGAGUAAAGGUGGCUGCAAUUCAAAUCAACAUCACAGCACGCUCAUGGGUCACUAUCACUGGGGAUCUCAGGGGAGGCCCAAAAUGGAAAUUAAUUAAAAUUUGUGCUGCACAUUGUAAUGGCCCUCCACCAUUGAGAUGGGAAGAGCA